GUGCUGGCUUCGGUAGCACAUAUACUAAAAUUGGAACAAUAUGGAGAAGAUUAGCAUAGCCUCUGUGCAAGGAUGACACACAAGUUUGUGAAGCACUCCAUGUAUAU
ensembl:snRNA U6 U6 spliceosomal RNA